GUGGCCCUUGAAUCCGAAUAGCCCCGGGAAACUGGGCGUCUUACCGAAUGUGCCCUUUUGGGGAAAGAUUUAUCGGCGAUAAAUCGCCCCGCCGUCACAUUAUAUAUUUGGUGCGGUAAAGGCUUACCAAUGCUACGAUCUCUAGCUUGGCUUGAGAGGAUGAUCACCCCCACUGGGACUGAGACACGGCCCCCACUCCUACUGGAGGUAGCAGUGAGUAAUCUUUGACAAUGUGGGCAACCCUGCAUCCUCCUUGCUCCGCGUGUGAUGACCGCUUUCCGGCUUGUAUAUUCUUUCCUCCAUAUAAUAUAAUGACGGUCAUCUGCUUAAGAAUAUCCGCUUAUUUCCCCGCCUCUCAUCCGUUGGCAAUACGCUAAUGGGCUCUGCGUUGUUUCCCACAUUCUUGCCUGUCUAAGCGC
rnacentral:rRNA from 1 species